rfam:Tupaia chinensis contig89576, whole genome shotgun sequence.
AUCGCUUCUCGGCCUUUUGGCUAAGAUCAAGUGUAGUAUCUGUUCUUAUCAGUUUAAUAUCUGAUACGUCCUCUAUCCGAGGACAAUAUAUUAAAUGGAUUUUUGGGAUAGGGAGUUGGAAUAGGGGCUUGCUCCGUCCACUCCACGCAUCGACCUGGUAUUGCAGUACUUCCAGCGCGUGGCGGGGCAUGCAAA